GUGCUCGCUUCAGUAGCACAUAUAUUAUAAUUGGAAAAAAACAGAUAAAUUAGCAUGGCCCCUGUGCAAGGAUGACACACAAAUUUGUGAAGCAUUCCAUAUUUUC
ensembl:snRNA U6 U6 spliceosomal RNA